rnacentral:lncRNA from 10 species
UUUAUGAGUUGUCUUCAUUUCAAUUUAAUUUUUCGAACAGGAAAUAUAUUUACAGAGUUUGAAAUUCCAAAGGCACAAGAGGAUAUACAGUAAAAAGUUUUCUUCCCACUCUUGUCUCUCACCACCAAUUUCCUUUCUACAAAGGUAUUUCAUGAAUAUUCAGGGAAAUACAAGCAUUUAUAUAUGCAUACAUACAUACACACACAUAUUCUUUUUCUCUCAUUUUCAUAUGAAGGGCAGACUAUUUAUACACUGUUCUACAUCUUGAUUUCUUUUUCUGCUUAACAAUAUGUCUUGGGAUUCCCUCCAUACCAGCACACAAAGAGGUGUCUCCAUCAUUUUUACAGCUGUACUGGAUCCCAUUGUAUGGCUGUGCCAAAAUUUGUUUAACCAGUUCCCGGUUGAGGGGCAUUUAUUUUGUUUCCCAUCUGUUGCUAUUAUAAACAAUGUUGCAGUGAAUAACCUUAUAGAUACAUCAUUUUGUUCACAUGGGAGUAUAUCCAUAAGCCAGAUUCAUAGACUUGGAACUGCUUUUCUUUGCAUUAUUUAUUUAUUUCUAAGACUUAGGGGUGGAGAGGAAAGAGGAAGAAAAGGAAGUGAUUUUUCUUCUCAAUAGGCUUGCUCUUCUUGCUCUGGGUAGAAUCAAUGCAAGUGGGAUUGAACUCAUUCCCUAAUAUCCCCUUCCCUCCAAACUGCUUCCUUCCAUUGUAAAUAAUUCAGACAAAAUAAAAUAAUCAUGUGCUGGUAAUUACCACUACCCCUACCCCAAAAACAAAUGCUUGCUGAAAUGCCGCCCUUCUGAUGUUGCAGCGACCGUGCCUGGGACCACCGUGAUGGCGAGUUGAAGCUGAGAUGUGUGGUGUGCAAAGGUGAGGGCAGGAGGGCUGUUUGGUCGUCUUUCCUGAGCAGAACGGCACUGAAAUGCUACCACUGUGCCUCCCUUCUCCUCAAACCUUCACCACUGAUUUUAGCAUUCAAUGGUGGAAUUUGCCUGCAACAAUUAUUACUGUGGCAUCUGUCUAAUAGUAGCUCACACAUCUGAACCUAGAGGGAAGCAGCUAAUGAGCCAUCCCUUCGCUUCACAACCCCAACCUAACCAAUAAUGAGAUGUGAACUAGUGCA